AUGAAAUAUGAAGUUUUAUUAAAAGAAAAAGGGGUGAAAAGAACAAAGUUUUGUCCAUCUUUGUUCAUGAUAGUUGAAAGUUAGAGAAGAGAAAGGAGAGGAGAAAACUCUUGAGUAUUUGGUCAUUAGGAGGAGGAAAAUUGAAGGCAGUUCGUGUGUGGAUCUCGUCAGCAUAUCGUCGGAAACAGGAAAUCCCCAACCAUAGUGGGCUUGGAGCUGUGAGGGAAUUCGGAGUGGCCACCCGCUCUAAAAGUUUGAUUUUCUUC